GUGCUAGCUUCGGCAGCACAUAUACUAAAAUUGGAACAAUACAGAGAAGAUUAGCAUGGCCCAUGCACAAGGAUGACAUGCUAUUAAGUGAAGUGCAUACUUUCUAG
ensembl:snRNA U6 U6 spliceosomal RNA